GUGUCCCCCUUGGCACCCGUCGGGGCGUUAAACCCAAAGCAAACCAAAAAAAUAUAAUGUGACGAUUUUGUUACCACUGAUUUUGGAUAUUUUAAUCUGUAAUUUGUUAAAGUUUAGUUUGAUGUCUAUUUUUACAUUUUUUUAAGCUCGGAAUAUUUUGUAGGAUUGAUAGGUGAUAACAUAAAACAAGAAAUGUAAACCCUUUUUUUCGGUUCUUUGUUUUGGUACUGUUUUGCUGCUCGCCAUCACCGAUUUGAGAGUUAAUGGAAACAAUCACUGACUAUUCUUUGCUCUUGGCCCGGCACUUCUAUUCACUGCGACUACUCUAUUACUCUAUAACAUUAUAGUUAGUCAGGCUUCCUCUCGGGGAAGUAUGAUUGAAGUAUUGGAGUUCCAUUGUAAAUUUCGUUAUAAAAAGGUCUUCACAAACGACAUGUUCUCGGUUGAAACACCGAACGUAAAAUGCCAAAAUAGAUAAAAAAAAAAUACUCUGAAAAUUUGUUUUCAAAUAAUCGGUUUGAACACGACAUUUAAGUUUUAUCCUUGUAUCCUUAUAGAAGUGGAAUUGCUUCAUUUAUUUCUUUUUUACAUCAGGACUUGUCCGUAGAUCGUGAAGACUUCACGUUCAGUGAUACAUGUCAGGAGUCGGAUAGGUUUAUUCCUGGAUUUGGAGAGGGAGUAGCGUGCGCAUGGAACUACGAUCGGAAACCCUGGUAUAAUUGCAGUCUUCCCGGGUUCUUUGUUAUCAACAUGAACGGUACCGGUCUUGUGGUAGACAGAGACCUUACCUGGGACUAUCGAACUUAUCAAAGUGUGACAGGAGAAGACACGUUCACCAGGUCUCCAGACGGAUUAAAAAUAACGGCCUUCGUUGACGGUUAUUGUGCUGAAGUGGUGCCUAAUGCAACUAUGUACCUGAAACACGAUCGUGAACUCGAAGUGUGGGGAAGCGCAACCGAGCCUGUUUGUUCUUCUCCAUAACCCGUUCACUAAAUGUGGUUGAUGUAGCGCAAGCUAGAAGAUCAAAGUUCCAGAGAACCGGGGCAAAGAUUUCACUGUAAUACGUUAUACAAUGUUGAUAGCAGAAGAAUUUAACCCGAAAUCAUCUACCCCUGCAGAUUCUGGAAAAGAAAGGACCUGCUAUGUCCAACUAUAUUUUGUAAGUGGCAACAAAUAUGGGGCCCCGACAGAGUCGGUUGUUUUUCUAUGCCUCUGUUUUUUUGGGGUUUUUUUCAAUUCAAAAGAAUUGAUAACAACACGGAUGUUAUAACAUUGUUACAAAGACAUAAAUAUUAACAGCAUGGUGAUAAGUGACUAGAAAAGCACGUUUUUCAGUUGUUUCCUUAUAAAUAUUAUAACAAAACGGAAUGUAAAUUAGGCAAUUAAUGAUGCAGAUUGGAACCAUCUUAUGACUUUUAAGAUAGUGUGUAUCAAUAGAGAGCAUCACUUUGAUCAAAGUACGUUUGAGGUCAAAUCUUAUGUUUUGGGUAACACCGUGCAGUGACUUACAGGGAGUCUGUUUAAUAGUGGAAAGUGUUAUUGGGCUAUACAUCUAGUUACGACCAGAUUCGGCAUGAAUGACAUAGAGAUAGGAACGAAAGUGUGAACUCCCGAAACCAGAUAGGGGUAACUGUCAUUGCCAUAUGGUACAUCUAGCAUUUCUGUUGUGGUAAGGGAAAGUUAAAUGAAAUUGUCGCACGUGCCUAAUUAUAUAUGUACAAGGGGUGGUACGGUAUUAUGAAGAGUUAACGUUGUACAGAUUCAUGAAAGUACUUGGGGAAGAUUUAAGAAGAAGUCCGGAGUUCAGAGUCUAGAGUUGAGAGUCAGGAUUCGAGGUUCGGAAAUGUGAGCCUUUAGAGAGAGAGCCGGUCCAGGGAAUGCCUCGCGCAGGGAUGGCCCGGAUCCAGCACUUGGUGUGCUUUAGAACUAUAUGUGUUUGAUGUGGUAACUGUAUAUAAUAUGUGCGCAUGGAGAUUUGUCGUCGUGUUGUGGUAGAAAAGACAUUUGUCACAUUUAAGAAAUAUCUUACAAAGUGGACCUACUCGAGGUAUGGACCCUGACUGUCGCAGGCACAAUGUGCAGUUAAUAAAAUUUUAAGCCCAAAUGUGUUUGUCAACGUGUUAUGUAACACAUGGGAGGAUUUCGUACCCCAGUGAACAGGAUUUCGAACGGGUUAUCCUGUCACCUUUCGCAAGUUUGACAACAGUAAUGUUUGUAGGACUACCAGUGUGUACCAUUCACUGUUACAGUGUAAUUAAAUGUGCUAUAGACAGCAUAUAUUUUUGCAGAAGUCACCUGCAGAUUUAGGAAUUUAUAACCUCUUCUUUGUCGAUGAGUCGUUAUCGAUGUAAUCAUUCAUGUACACUUCGAUACUCGUUCGUUUGUGUCUCCAUACGCACACAUCUUCAUAUGAUUUUGGCUAUUUCAAUGUUAAAUCACACAAUAACAAUAUAUACUGUUAACAUUGUAACAGAUUUAUGUUUUCUUUCCAGUGAGCCAUUUUUAAGGUGUAGUUUAUCGUCUUGUAACGUUGAUUUUGUUUCCAUUAAAAUUAUGCAAUAUAGUAUCGGAACAUUAUUGUUGUAUAAUUGUUAUUAUGAGUGCUGUUCAG
rnacentral:lncRNA from 1 species